rnacentral:rRNA from 1 species
GAUGAGCGCUGGCGGCGUGCCUAAUACAUGCAAGUCGAGCGAACGGACGAGAAGCUUGCUUCUCUGAUGUUAGCGGCGGACGGGUGAGUAACGCGUGGAUAACCUACCUAUAAGACUGGGAUAACUUCGGGAAACCGGAGCUAAUACCGGAUAAUAUUUUGAACCGCAUGGUUCAAAAGUGAAAGACGGUCUUGCUGUCACUUAUAGAUGGAUCCGCGCUGCAUUAGCUAGUUGGUAAGGUAACGGCUUACCAAGGCAACGAUGCAUAGCCGACCUGAGAGGGUGAUCGGCCACACUGGAACUGAGACACGGUCCAGACUCCUACGGGAGGCAGCAGUAGGGAAUCUUCCGCAAUGGGCGAAAGCCUGACGGAGCAACGCCGCGUGAGUGAUGAAGGUCUUCGGAUCGUAAAACUCUGUUAUUAGGGAAGAACAUAUGUGUAAGUAACUGUGCACAUCUUGACGGUACCUAAUCAGAAAGCCACGGCUAACUACGUGCCAGCAGCCGCGGUAAUACGUAGGUGGCAAGCGUUAUCCGGAAUUAUUGGGCGUAAAGCGCGCGUAGGCGGUUUUUUAAGUCUGAUGUGAAAGCCCACGGCUCAACCGUGGAGGGUCAUUGGAAACUGGAAAACUUGAGUGCAGAAGAGGAAAGUGGAAUUCCAUGUGUAGCGGUGAAAUGCGCAGAGAUAUGGAGGAACACCAGUGGCGAAGGCGACUUUCUGGUCUGUAACUGACGCUGAUGUGCGAAAGCGUGGGGAUCAAACAGGAUUAGAUACCCUGGUAGUCCGCGCCGUAAACGAUGAGUGCUAAGUGUUAGGGGGUUUCCGCCCCUUAGUGCUGCAGCUAACGCACUAAGCACUCCGCCUGGGGAGUACGACCGCAAGGUUGAAACUCAAAGGAAUUGACGGGGACCCGCACAAGCGGUGGAGCAUGUGGUUUAAUUCGAAGCAACGCGAAGAACCUUACCAAAUCUUGACAUCCUUUGACAACUCUAGAGAUAGAGCCUUCCCCUUCGGGGGACAAAGUGACAGGUGGUGCAUGGUUGUCGUCAGCUCGUGUCGUGAGAUGUUGGGUUAAGUCCCGCAACGAGCGCAACCCUUAAGCUUAGUUGCCAUCAUUAAGUUGGGCACUCUAAGUUGACUGCCGGUGACAAACCGGAGGAAGGUGGGGAUGACGUCAAAUCAUCAUGCCCCUUAUGAUUUGGGCUACACACGUGCUACAAUGGACAAUACAAAGGGCAGCGAAACCGCGAGGUCAAGCAAAUCCCAUAAAGUUGUUCUCAGUUCGGAUUGUAGUCUGCAACUCGACUACAUGAAGCUGGAAUCGCUAGUAAUCGUAGAUCAGCAUGCUACGGUGAAUACGUUCCCGGGUCU